CAGAACAAUGAAUGCCAACCGUUAGAAAAUAAUUUGCGAUCGUUACUAAGGUCAAUGAAGGCUGAAGUUAGUUUGUAAGUUAGUUGGUCAGUCAGUCAGUCAGUCAGUCGUACACCGGCGUUCGAAAAUAAGCAAAUUUGUGAUACUUUGACCGUGCAUAGAGUAUUCUAUACCCUCGUGAGUUUGUAAAUUCUAAGCCAGUUGUACAUUAAAAACUACAAAAUGACUACAGAAGGAAAGAAGAGGGUAUGCAUUGUAGGAAGCGGCAAUUGGGGUUCAGCCAUUGCAAAAAUUGUAGGUGCCAAUGCAGUCAAAUAUAACAACAUAUUUGAAACACGCGUGACAAUGUAUGUUUACGAAGAAAUAGUGAACAGUCAAAAGUUGACUGACAUCAUAAAUCAGUUGCAUGAAAACGUGAAAUAUCUUCCUGGGCACAAAUUGCCAGAAAAUAUUGUUGCCGUCCCAGACGUCGUUGAAGCUGCCAAAGACGCGGAUAUUCUUAUUUUUGUAAUACCUCAUCAGUUUAUACGAACACUAUGUGCAACAUUGCUCGGUAAAAUUAAACCAACCGCGGUUGGUGUAUCGUUAAUUAAGGGUUUUGAUCGAGGUGAUGGAACGAAUAUCGAAUUAAUUUCUAAAAUCAUUGAAAAAAAUUUAAGAAUCCAAUGUUACGUUUUAAUGGGAGCAAAUCUAGCUAACGAAGUUGCCGAGGAGAAGUUCUGUGAAACAACUAUUGGUUGUAGAGAUAAACGCUUGGCCCCAGUGUUAAGGGACCUUAUUCAAACUCCUAAUUUCAGAGUUGUAGUUGUUGAAGACUGUGAAGCUGUUGAAGUAUGUGGUGCCUUAAAGAAUAUCGUGGCAUGUGCCGCUGGUUUCGUAGAUGGUAUGGGACUAGGUGAUAAUACAAAAGCAGCUGUUAUCAGAUUGGGAUUAAUGGAAAUGGUCAAGUUCGUAGACACAUUUUACAGUGGCUCGAAACUUUCAACGUUCUUCGAAAGUUGCGGUGUAGCAGAUUUGAUAACUACUUGCUACGGUGGAAGAAAUCGCAGAGUUUGCGAGCAAUAUGUUAAAACUGGAAAAACUAUUAGGCAGCUCGAAGAAGAACUUUUAGGUGGUCAAAAAUUGCAAGGACCAGCCACAGCUGAUGAAGUUCACGGAAUGCUAAAAGCUAAGAAUUUGCUAGAAAAAUUCCCGUUAUUUACUGCUGUACACCGCAUCUGUACUGAACAAAUAAGACCAGCAGAUUUACUUGACCAAAUUCGUAACCAUCCUGAACAUGUGUUUGCACCAAAAACAUUGUAUAUGUACUAAGUAUUGUCCUCAUCUUCCCUUUUUAUCAUUUUUUGUGUUGAGAAACUGUAAAAAUUGUUUUUUAACAAGUACAAAACCCACUUAUAUCGGGUGAGAUAGAUAUCGGCCGUAUAUACGGAUGAGAUGCUGUAUCAUAUAGAAAUGUACAAACAUAGGUGAGAACUGAUUAACACAUUCCAUCAAUAUAAAAGGAUAACAUUCCAAAUAAGAUGAAGGUCGAUGGUGGUAACUGAAUGCUAUAAGUUACGGAAUGUAAACAUCUUGACAGCUCCAAAAAAACACAUAGAAAUCAUUAAAAGGAAAAAUCAAUUAUUAGAAAAAUGUAAUAUUACAGAUAUUUUGCAAUAAUUAGUUAUAAUUGGCUACUGUUUUUCUCCUGAUGAUUAAUAUACAAUUGUUCUAUAAAAUA